AUUCUUUCAGCGGCAAAUAGGGUCCAGUUGUAUCAAACCCCGAGUUUCGGGGUUUUUUGUUAUUUGAAAAGAAUGACUGGGCUAUAAGGCCCUUUUUUU
rfam:Candidatus Regiella insecticola 5.15 Rin_2504559937.88, whole genome shotgun sequence.